rnacentral:sRNA from 12 species
CCUUCGGAGCGUUAUAUCAAACGUGAGUAGCAGAACACCGUGAAAGCGGACGCGAUGAACAAGGAA